rnacentral:rRNA from 1 species
CGCGUAGACGGUUGUCUAAGUCUGGAGUGAAAGUCCUGCUUUCAAGGUGGGAAUUGCUUUGGAGACUGAAUGACUUGAGUGCGGAAGAGGUAAGCGGAAUUCCCAGUGUAGCGGUGAAAUGCGUAGAGAUUGGGAAGAACACCAGUGGCGAAGGCGACUUACUGGGCCGUAACUGACGUUGAUGCGCGAAAGCGUGGGGAGCAAACA